rfam:Ophiophagus hannah scaffold1509.1, whole genome shotgun sequence.
UUUGAGAUGGGGUGUGAGUACAGAGAAGCCCUUGUCUCAAA